rnacentral:rRNA from 1 species
GACGGAUGGGGCUAGCGUUGUUCGGAAUUACUGGGCGUAAAGCGCGCGUAGGCGGCUUUGUAAGUUAGAGGUGAAAGCCCGGGGCUCAACCCCGGAACUGCCUUUAAGACUGCAUCGCUUGAAUCCGGGAGAGGUGAGUGGAAUUCCGAGUGUAGAGGUGAAAUUCGUAGAUAUUCGGAAGAACACCAGUGGCGAAAGGCGGCUCACUGGACCGGCAUUGACGCUGAGGUGCGAAAAGCGUGGGGGAGCAAAACAGG